GAUGAACGCUGGCGGCGUGCCUAAUACAUGCCAGUCGAGCGAACAGACGAGGAGCUUGCUCCUCUGACGUUAGCGGCGGACGGGUGAGUAACACGUGGAUAACCUACCUAUAAGACUGGGAUAAAUUCGGGAAACCGGAGCUAAUACCGGAUAAUAUAUUGAACCGCAUGGUUCAAUAGUGAAAGACGGUUUUGCUGUCACUUAUAGAUGGAUCCGCGCCGCAUUAGCUAGUUGGUAAGGUAACGGCUUACCAAGGCAACGAUGCGUAGCCGACCUGAGAGGGUGAUCGGCCACACUGGAACUGAGACACGGUCCAGACUCCUACGGGAGGCAGCAGUAGGGAAUCUUCCGCAAUGGGCGAAAGCCUGACGGAGCAACGCCGCGUGAGUGAUGAAGGUCUUCGGAUCGUAAAACUCUGUUAUUAGGGAAGAACAAAUGUGUAAGUAACUAUGCACGUCUUGACGGUACCUAAUCAGAAAGCCACGGCUAACUACGUG
rnacentral:rRNA from 1 species